CAGUCACCGUGACGACUAUGACUUCGACUGUGGAAGCGCAACCAAUGGCUUAACAACCCACACUGGUUUUGAGCGAAGAGGUUAUGGACUUUGCCGCCC
rnacentral:lncRNA from 1 species